UAUACAGAAUGAAAAGUAUUUGUUUUCGUAAAUAAGAACAGUACAUAAAUUCGAGAGUAUGAACAUGACAUACAAAGUAGCGCCAUCCAUGAGUGGGAUACUUACUCGCUUUUGUUGGCCCGCUUUUCUACUAUCUGCAAGUGGAUGCGACGUGUCCGCAAUAAUUUGGUCGCACUGCUGUGCAAAACUGGGCCUCGAACUCGGACAAAACAUAAAAAAGAAGGCGAAUAUGUGUCAGACGAGAAUGGAGGGAAGAAAUGCGGAGAUUUGUCACAUUUUGUAGGCUGCAGCAGGAGCACCAAAGAGGCGACUAAAAUAAUCAACUAAGCCAAGUGCGGCAACUGCGACAAAGUGUGCUGCAGCAAAUGAAGAAAGUUCGCGCCCGCUUUCACCGCAUUUCCCUUUGGCUUUCUCCGCUUCAAGCGGCUACAUUGCGUAAAAGUCGUAGAAAAGUAGUUAAACUUCUGCUUUUUUCCACUGACAUAAUUCGCGAGAAGUGCGCCGGGCGCCAGUCCUGAAUGAUAUAUCCAAGUGCUAGUAAUAAAUUCCCCCAGUCAUGCCACAAAGUAA
rnacentral:sRNA from 1 species